rnacentral:rRNA from 1 species
UACGGAAGGGCAAGCGUUGUUCGGAAUCAUUGGGCGUAAAGGGUGCGUAGGCGGCGCGGUAAGUCGGAUGUGAAAUCUCGGAGCUUAACUCCGAAACUGCAUUCGAUACUGCCGUGCUUGAGGACUGGAGAGGAGACUGGAAUUUACGGUGUAGCGGUGAAAUGCGUAGAUAAUCGUAAGGAAGACCAGUGGCGAAGGCGGGUCGUCGUGGACAGUUCCUGACGCUGAGGCACGAAGGUCAGGGGAGCAAACGGG